GGGCACUGCUAAAAAUCCCACCAUACACAGGACAGCUCCCUACCACGUGGACCUAUGCAGCCCCCAAAUAUUAACAGGGUAUCUCGGGACCACCCGUGGGCUGCCGGGGAGCCAACUUCUGCCUGGUCAGCUAACUCCGCGGUCCCGGGGCCUGGGGAAGAGCAAGGAGCAGCUGCAGACUGGCACAUGCGAUCCCCUCUCAUGGCGCGAUGCUGCCUGGUCAGAAAAGUAUAGAGAAGAAAACAAAAGCCUUAAAAUGCUUCACUCCUAGAAAGCCGCCGCUAACAGCUGGAGAACAUCCCUGCCCGUGUCUCAGUGCAAAUACACACCAAUAAAUCCACGUUUCCAACUCCA